UGAGGAAUAUUGGACAAUGGAGGCAACUCUGAUCCAGCCAUGCCGCGUGUAGGAAGACUGCCCUAUGGGUUGUAAACUACUUUUAUAGAGGAAGAAACCGCUCUACGAGUAGAGCUCUGACGGUACUCUACGAAUAAGGAUCGGCUAACUCCGUGCCAGCAGCCGCGGUAAUACGGAGGAUCCAAGCGUUAUCCGGAAUCAUUGGGUUUAAAGGGUCCGUAGGCGGAUUUGUAAGUCAGUGGUGAAAGUUUGCGGCUCAACCGUAAAAUUGCCAUUGAUACUGCAAGUCUUGAAUUAUUGUGAAGUGGUUAGAAUAAGUAGUGUAGCGGUGAAAUGCAUAGAUAUUACUUAGAAUACCGAUUGCGAAGGCAGAUCACUAACAAUUGAUUGACGCUAAGGGACGAAAGCGUGGGUAGCGAACAGGAUUAGAUACCCCCGUAGUCC
rnacentral:rRNA from 1 species